rnacentral:rRNA from 1 species
GGAAUAUUGGGCAAUGGGCGCAAGCCUGACCCAGCAACGCCGCGUGAAGGAAGAAGGCUUUCGGGUUGUAAACUUCUUUUCUCAGGGACGAAGAAAGUGACGGUACCUGAGGAAUAAGCCACGGCUAACUACGUGCCAGCAGCCGCGGUAAUACGUAGGUGGCAAGCGUUGUCCGGAAUUACUGGGUGUAAAGGGAGCGUAGGCGGGAAUGCAAGUUGAAUGUUUAAACUAUGGGCUCAACCCAUAGUCGCGUUCAAAACUGCAUUUCUUGAGUGGAGUAGAGGCAGGCGGAAUUCCUAGUGUAGCGGUGAAAUGCGUAGAUAUUAGGAGGAACACCAGUGGCGAAGGCGGCCUGCUGGGCUCUAACUGACGCUGAGGCUCGAAAGCGUGGGUAGCAAAC